rnacentral:misc_RNA from 1 species
UACGGGGGGUGCAAGCGUUGUUCGGAAUUAUUGGGCGUAAAGAGCGUGUAGGCGGCUGAAUAAGUCAGAUGUGAAAUCCCUGGGCUUAACCCAGGACAUGCAUUUGAAACUAUUCAGCUAGAGUAAGGGAGAGGAAAGUGGAAUUCCUGGUGUAGAGGUGAAAUUCGUAGAUAUCAGGAGGAACACCGGUGGCGAAGGCGACUUUCUGGCCCUAUACUGACGCUGAGACGCGAGAGCGUGGGUAGCAAACAGG